GCUUGACACGGUCGAAGAUCUACAUCCGUAUCCGCGCGGCUUGACAUUUUACUUUUCAACGUCGAAAAAGUCAGCAAGUUAUCCGGAACUAUAACACGCUCUCCUGCACUAUAGAUCCUCCCACUCCAUACUCAAGCACAUCAAAGCUCACACUCAAGCUCCUCCAAGUUUCUCUAGCUUUCUCCGAUCUCGUUCACAAGUCUGGGAUCACAUCAAAGCAAGAGGCGUUCUUAAAAAAGAUGGCGAGCAACAAGAUGCUGCUGGCGAUGCUUGUGGUGGUGCUCCUGGUGGGAGUUGACAUUGGAGGAAUUGCAAGUGCGAGCACCCAGGGGCGAUGCAAGCCGGGGUGGCACUGGGAUGGGAAGAAGUGCGUCUAUUGCCAGCCAAACUGGUACUGGUACAACAAUUCUUGCCACCGCUGCAAGAUGGGCUCGCACUGGACUGGAAGUUCCUGCAAGAAGAACUGAAGUUGCCUAUCAAGAUCCAAGCUUAUGUAAUAUGUCAACGACAAUAAAUAUUGUGGUUGUGCUGUUUCUUGUGAUAACCUUUUGGUGAAUAAAAUGUGUGUGCUUUUCUUUCCAUGACAUCCCAUUCUAAGGCUCGGUUUCCUCAUCCAGAAUCCGCUUGACGAGAGACUUGCUGCCAAUUUCACUUUUAGUUUCUAGCAACUCGAGCAGCAAGAUUAUCGAAAUACCGAAGUCUUGCGCUGCUGAGUUUCAUACUCGAGACAAGAGAUGAGAGAGAAAUGUGAAUCAUGCCUCUUAGUUUGGCCACAAGUGGACUUUAAGAAAUUACGGUUCGUAAAUUUCUUGCAGUUUCUAGCUAUUUACUUUUAAAAAUAUUAUCAUAUUUUUUAAUGCAUUGUCUUUUGAUGAUUUCACGGGACUUAAAUAGAGACUGUUUCAUCUGGAUUGACCCCGUCAAUCAAGCACAAACACGACAUGUCGUGCCGGAGACGCAGUAAAAACCGUGUGCAUAGCUACUCAGCCUCAAAUCCUCCAUAUAAAUUGGUCCCACAUUGGCAACACCAUAACACAGCAAAGCAUUUAAUCAAGAGAAAGAAGAGAUACAAGAAAAGCAAUCAGUUUGCAUUUCUAUUGACGAUACAAUGGCGAGCAAGUCACAGCUGAUGCUUCUGGCCACGUUUGACAAUCCUCCUGGUUGGAGUGGACGUUGGUGGAAUCGAAAGCGCAGCAGCCCAGCAGAAAUGCAAAUCUGGCUGGAACUAGGACGGCCACAAGUGCAUCCAGUGUCCCAAAGGCUGGUACUGGUAUAGCAACGAUUGCCACCAAUGUCUCUCCGGUUGGAAGUGGAGUGGAAGCAAAUGCGUGAGUUGCCCGAGCAGCUGGUACUGGUACAACAACAAGUGCCACCAAUGCCAAUUUGGCUGGAAAUGGAGCAAGGACCAUUGCAUCAAGAACUGACCAAGUUGGAAUCCAAUAUUUGAUGGAUCGUCACAAAAUAAUUGUCCCAUGUCCAUUUGGUUAUGAAAGUAUAUGAAAGAUGUGAGCUCGAACUCCCGACCCCAGCUUUCUUUCUUUCUAACCUUUAUUUAUCCUGCGGCUGCAUUCUACGACUGAUUUUUACUUUCAGCCAAGAUACUCCACGAACACAAAAGAAGGCUUUAGUACAAGAGAAGCUACCAGAGAAGUGUCUAUGUCAUCUUUUCGACAUUGUUUGAGGUAAACUUCAAGAAAAGUUUACGUGAAUUUUCUAGUUCACUUGGUUUCCAUCCUUCCCCACAGGAUUGUGUUGUCUCAAAUGCGGACCAAAUCUGGAUCAAUCGGUACCCAGUCCAAGCCAAGGCCGCAUUGUAUCACAGCUUCACAUUUGAUUUUUUAACGUAGAUAUUGUCAAUGAGUAGCCCUGAACUAACUUGGAGAAGCUUGAAGUGUUGGAUGGGAGGAUUUACAGUUCUAGGCUGUGACCACGUCUUAUAGGAUUAGCACUCAAAGUUUCUUAUCGUUUGCAAGUCGAGACAGAGGCAAGAGGAGAGCUUUAAGAAAAUGGCGAGCAACAAGAAGAGCGUGAGGCGGUGCUCCUGGUGGGAGGCAUUGCAAAUGCAAGCGCCCUGACGUGGGAAUGCAAGUCGGGUUGGCACUGGGAUACGAUUAGGAAGACGUGCGUCUCUGGUACAACAAUUCCUGCCACCGAUGCCCGGAGUACUGGUUCUGGUAUACCAGUUCUUGCCACCGUUGCUCUGUUGGCACUGGUAUGACAUCGGUUGCCACCGAUGCGAAAAGGGGCUGGCGCUGGACUGGAAGGUUCUGUAAGAACUGAAUUGCCCAUCAUUUCCAUGCUGAAACGUGUAUAAAGCCAAUUGUAAUAACCUUUUGGUAAAUAAACUGUGUCGUCCAUUCUACGGUAGCGGAAGUCCCAUUUCCUCGGCAGGAUCGGAAGAGAUUUCAUCCUGCCUUGCUGCUUGAGUUUCAUUUUCUAAUAUUUCAUAAAGUUUUUUUGGAAUGUUUAGAAGCUUGGAGGCCUUUUCUCCACCAUAUCAAUAAGUGCGUUCACUUUUGAAAACAUUAUCAUAUUUUUUAAUGCAUAUGAGGCAAUUCAUAUAAAAUAGUGAUUGAUCGCAACGAGAUAGAUAGAUAGAUAAACAUACCGGGAUAUUUUUGAUAAUUUCACAAGGAAACUCGAGGUUGUUCAUCUGGAUAAAGUCGUACACUUGUUUCUUGACCACGUCAAUCAAGCACAAACACGACAUAUCGUGCCCGAGAAGCAGUAAAAACCGUGUACAUAGCAGUGUUAGCCUCAAAUCCUCCAUAUAAAUUGGCACCAUAAUACAGCAAAGCAAAGAAGGGAUACAAAAAAAAAAUUAGUUUACAUUUCUAGAUCAGAUGGAAGUGGAGUGGAAGCAAAUGCGUGAGUUGCCCAAGAAACUGGUACUGGUACAACAAGAAGUGCCACCAAUGCCAGUUUGGCUGGAAAUGGAGCAAAGGACCAUUGCAUCAAGAACUAACCAAAUUGGAGGCACAAAAUGAAUUGUGAUUUUAAAUCUGAUUUAAAUACAAACUUAUUGGGAGAAACAUGGGGUGAGAGAGGCUCGAACUCUCUACCUCAGGUAGAAUCAAAGGGCUAAUGGAGCAUUGGUUAAAAAAAGAGGAAGUUAUGGUGUGCAAUUUAGCGGAUGAUCAUAUGCAAAAAUUGACAUGUUGUCUUCCAAUUCGUCUAUAAUUUUAUGGCCAUAAUAUGCCCAUCGGAUGGCCAUGGCAUGUUUCCAUUAUCACUCCAUACACUCAUUAGCAUAACUUUGAUUUGUUAACUUAGGGUUGGUAGCUUGUCCUGGUCCUUAAUGUUGCUGCCCAAGACAGGAUUCAACUGGCAUGGUAGAUGAGUUUUUCUGGUAGGAGGUGAAAUUUAUUUCUUGUUUGUAGAUCAUUUGUUUUUUUCGGUUGCAGUGUCAAAAUUGUUUGGCCUAAAGUAUUUCCUAAUGGUGUGUGUGAAACCACCUGAUUUAUGGCUUUAAAUUAUCCAUUGUUAUACUAAUUGUGUACUAAAUUUGUACAGUCGCAAGGCUUUGGAAAUCUAAUUAAUUUUGUUACUUGAAUUCUCUAGACUAAAACUACUAGUUACCUUGCAACUUACCUUGGAAUUUCAAAACCAAUGCUGUACAAGUACAUGAGGCUUAUUGAUCCCAAUUGGAGGCAUGUAUAUAACAUGAUGCCAUCAAGAGAGGUAUUGAAUAUUAUCCAAGCUAAUAUUUCUAUGAAUCAUGUUGUCACAAAUUGGGGGAUUAUCAACUCCUGCUUAGGCUAUAGAAUUGCAAGAUAUUGAUUUAGUCGACGCCAAAUAGGAGCCAAACUAAUAUUUUAAAUGAUCGAACAUAUAUUCCAACCACUAUCCCUACUAUACAUUUGGAACCCCCCCUCCCUCCCCCUGGAGAACACAUGCUUUAGGCUUUCACCCCUAGCCUCCCUUAGUACCAAUAGUUAAUUUUUAGGAUAAACUUAAAACUUAUUAUUUAUGGAAUGGCAUUAGAUUGCGUAUUUGGACACAGGACCAACACUAUCGUGUUUAAGACAAUCUUUACAUUCCGUAAAUAUGCCAAAUUAGUAAAUCAAGGCACAUUCCAUAAAUAAUAAUGGACUAAACGUUAGGACAUGAUAGCGAGUGUGUUUGGUAGACAUAGUAAGCUAUCAUUUAGCAAUAUUGAGGGACUAAUCUCAAUAUACAGAGGUUCUUGUCACUAGCCAGUGCAAGUUAUAACGAGACGGGAAAUCCUUACCAAGCACAAAAGGGGCUACUAAAGGGAUCCAACUGUACUGACCUUUUGCUGUUAUGGCAGUGAAGAAAGAGUGUCUAUAAGGACUAGCUAAUAAGUAUCUUUCGACACCCGAAAUCACGUUUGUGACACUCUCCCCCCUUAGGGAAGAUCAAUGUCCUCAUUGAUGCAUACCUGAGUUUAGCAAAUUGUCAAGGAAAUAACUCUGAAAGUUAAUAGAAAGCAUAUUAUGUAGGAAACACAUUGACUUAAAUGAGUGAUGGAACUACCUCUCCUCUACAUUGUAAGAAACUAAAUUUUCUAUUUUAUUUUAGUCACUUAACCACAUCUUUGACCAUUUGGAGGAGUCUUGCUCACAACUUCUAUAAGUCAUAUUCUUGACUUGGGACAUACUAGCACCAUAAAUGGCAUUUAUGCCACUUAGCCUUUACAUUUGGUCCAAAUGCUCCACAUGUUUAAUCCCAUGAUCAACACUCAAAGGUACUACUAACAUAUCAACCUGUUACACUAAGGUCAUGUUCAUUCACCCUUAUCACAUUAAUAGUCCAAGACCAUCUACAUCACAGUCCCAUCUCUCAAAAAUUAAGUUAUUCGCCCAUGAGUGGUCAUCCCUUGACCACACUUUAACCCUUAGAAUGCUUGGAAACAUGGGGAACACCCUUCCUCAAUAUCCCUUUUUUAGUCCCUACCAAGUCCUUCUUUAUUCACGGCCAUAUUUGCCAACACUGCCAUUGGGUCAAGGCCCAAAGGCUCAGACUACUAAGUCGCAUUGUCCUUUAGGACUUCCUCACCAUGUGAUUGUAUUUAAUCACUAUAUUAGAGGAUUAUUCCUCUUUCUUUCCACAGUCUGGGACUUUGGGAUAACAUUUCGAAACACUAUAACUUUAUGCAAGCCUCGUGUACUUUCCCCACCUUCUGCCUUUAAAUGCCCUAGCCAUGUGGUUAGAGCGAGGUUCUGAGUAUCUAAGUAGGUAGUGCCACCCACACUUGGAUUGGGAGCAUUGACCAUUUAAUCUCCGAAAGGAGCUAAAACUAGCUCUUAAACACUUUACCAAGCUACCCUACUUUUCUAUUUGUAUCACCCAUUAUAUGGGUAUAGCCUUCUUUGGUCACACUAGCAUUUCUUGGCCAAAUUGGCACCACUAGAAUCUUCCCUUUACUAUACUUUUGGAGCUCACCAAACCCUCUAGGGUUUAGGAAAUAAACACUUUGGGCUUUCACCCUUGGACUACUCAAACUCGGAUUUGAAUUUGAAUUCGGACUCCUUCUCAAACUCGGACUUGGACUCCAUCUCAAACUCGGACUUGGACUCCAUCUCAAACUCCAUCUCAUACACUUCCACAUGUCAUGUGUUAAUCCUCUUGUGUCCCUUUUCUAAAAACUCACUUACUAUUUGCUUUAUGCUCGUUCCUUAUAGAAGUUUCACUCCUACUCUCAACUAUUUAAGUCAAAGCUUUUAAUCUAAACAUGUUACAUUUGUUUGGCUUCUACUACUCAAGGUGUGCCUAUCUCCCCUCUUUCUCAAGUUAGAAAGCAAACCAUUGGAUAGUGUGUUCAAAGCUUGUUUUCAUAUAGAAAGUUUUGCGCAAAUUGCAUCUUCUUUGGGCCAGCUUAUCUUGCCCGAAUGCCUUAAGCUGCUACCGCUAUAUACACUCAGUAAGUUUCAUGUUGUUAUUUUUUUUAACUUUUCACAAUCUCGUUUCCUUCUUUACAGCUCUUACAAAGAGCGUGGGUCUCCGGCAAGAUGCUCGUGUUGAUGAAAGGGCUUACUGGCUUAUGCGAGCUACAAGUAUCUCGGCAUCCCUCGGGAUACCGUUGGUGUAUCCCAGAAAAUUUUCCGUCCACAACAUACCAAAGGUACUAGUUAUCUCUUUGGUACUCUGAUUAAGGUGCGUUUUGCAUAGCUGGACGAGUUGAGUCUACCAACUCGUAAUUUCUUACUCUUGUUCUCUUUUGCAGUUUUUGUUGCAAGAGUACGAUAACGAGCCAUCAAUUUUGCUGAACAAGAUGGUGAACGAGAUCCGUCGCCAAAGCUGCUCUUACCUGCGGUAUGUUUCGAUAAAAAAAACUCUCACUAGUCUUUCUAAUGCGGAUGCUUGCUAUUCUAGGUUGCAUUUGCUGAAGCGGGUAGGUGAUCAAACACACUCAUUUUUUUCUUUUUCGAGGCACUCUUGCUCAUUCGGUUUUGUUACAGAGAUGAUGUUCCACUCCUUCAUAAUCGAGGACAAGAGCGGGCUGGGCUCGUCUUAUGUGGAGUUCCUUGUCUACGUGCACAGGCAAAUCCAGGUGAAAAUGCAGCCUGGGAGCUGAGGUCACUAAAAGCGGAAGAAAUUCAUUCAAUAACAUUCUCCAUUAGUCAUGAAUCUAAAUGAUUCUCAAGCAUAGUAUUUGCAAGAAUUAUGUUUUGGCAAACCCAUUUUACUCCAGACGUUGUAAAACAUUAAUGUUUUUUACUACAAUGAAAGCACAAAUAUCCAAAACGUCUGACUUUGCGCCUGACACGGUCGAAGGGUUACAUCUGUAUCCGCACGGCUUCACAUUUUACUUUUCAACGUCGAAAAAGUCAGCGAGUCAUCUGGAACUAUAACACGCUCUCCUGCACUAUAAAUCCUCCCACCCCAUACUCAAGCACAUCAAAGCUCACACUCAAGCUUCUCCAAGUUUCUCUAACUUUCUCCGAUCUCGUUCACAAGUCUGGGAUCACAUCAAAGCAAGAGGCGUUCUUAAAAAAGAUGGCGAGCAACAAGAUGCUGCUGGCGAUGCUUGUGGUGGUGCUCCUGGUGGGAGUUGACAUUGGAGGAAUUGCAAGUGCGAGCGCCCAGGGGCGAUGCAAGCCGGGGUGGCACUGGGAUGGGAAGAAGUGCGUCUCUUGCCUGCCAAGCUGGUACUGGUACAACAAUUCUUGCCACCGAUGCCCGCACAACUGGUACUGGUACUCGGGUUCUUGCCACCGCUGCCCGAUUAACUGGUACUGGUACUCGGGUUCUUGCCACCGCUGCCCGAUCAACUGGUACUGGUAUGGCAACUCUUGCCACCACUGCCAGAUGGGCUGGCGCUGGACCGGAAGUUUCUGCAAGAAGAACUGAAGUUGCCCAUCAAGAUCCAAGCUCAUGUAAUAUGUCAACGACAAUAAAUAUUGUGGUUGUGCUGUUUCUUGUGAUAACCUUUUGGUGAAUAAAAUGUGUGUGCUUUUCUUUCCAUGACAUCCCAUUCUAAGGCUCGGUUUCCUCAUCCAGAAUCUGCUUGACGAGAGACUUGCUGCCAGUUUCACUUUUAGUUUCUAGCAACUCGAGCAGCAAGAUUAUCGAAAUACCGAAGUCUU
rnacentral:lncRNA from 1 species